UUCGCACUUCAUGUCGUAAAAGUUGUAUGCCCACCAGCUCUUUUGUUGGGUUGUCCUAUAUUAAAGGCAAAACUUCCCAUAUUUUGUACAUUUUAAAGCCAAAUUACCUUUUACUCUUUAACGAUAACCAUGGAAAUAUGAAAUUGACAUCAUUUGUUGUGGUUGUCAAGAUUCCCUUAUUUUUUCAUAUUGAGGGAUCAUUUUAGAUGCUUGACUAGAUUGGCAAAUAUUUUUACAUUUUGGUUAAAUCGCCACUGAUUUUGCCCUAUAAUGCUGUUGGGUUGGAUGUAGAAGGAAUUCAUGCCAUAAACAUUAAUAUGUGUAGUGAUUUAUUUUUUUCUUCCCAUGUAAUGUUUUGCAUAUGAACCUGAGCCUUUGUGUUUAGGAUUGAAUUAGGAUAUUAUUAGUUAAGGUGUUGGUAAAAGUUCUUCAAAAUUUCCUGAAAAUUAUAUUUCUGUAAGUCAGGUAUACACUGGAUGAGGUAAUCACUAUAUGAUAGCUGGUAUAAGGUAAUUAUAAGAUUGUUUAGUUGAUUUUUGUGUCGACCCAUGUUUUAAAUUUUGAAUUUAAAUGUUUUUGAUUGAAGGGCUUUGGUUCGAUUCAUAGUAAGUAAAGGGGAUUUAUGGUGGAUCAGGUGUUGGAGGGUAACAAGCCGGAGCCGGUUUUGAUGUUUAUAACUGGCCUUAUAGGAUGUUCUUGGCUUUUAAAAUGAUAAACAAAUUGAAGCUAUUAGGAUGUUCUGUUUGAUUCUGUCCAAGCUUUUGAUUUCAAAACAAUAUGAUGUUUUUUCCCUAAUUUUAUCCCCAAAUUUGUUUUGCUGGCUAUUCUUUCACACACUAUAUAUAAAGUACAAGUUGUGAUGCAUCAUGUACAAGUCUUGUAGGUUUGGACAAUGGUAGAAGCUAAUAACAGGUGAGCGGGAGGAUAUUUGAGCGCCGUGAUUCAAAAUUUAAAUAGUUUUAGGAGGGGGGAGAAAACGAGAUAGAGAGAGAAAGAGAGCUAGACCUGCCAAUGCAGAUGCAGACUUGCAGCUUUUACAAGUGUCAACUACUAAACCUGUCAAGUGUCAUAUACUAGCCCUUUUACUGUUUCCUUUACCUUUUACUGUUUGUCCUUUUCACUGCAAAGUUGUUUUAACAGCUGUAAUACAUGGUCAAGCAUUGGAACUCUACAACUUUUCCCAUGCUUUUUGAUAUUGGAACCUGACAUCUCCUACAACACUCUCAACUAUCUUGGUAUUAUAUAUUCGUGUGAAGUUUCAAACACUCAACAGUAGAUAAGAUUGUUCAGUUCUGAUGCAUUAAUAGUUGGAUAAUCAGGUGUGGGAACAUGGUGGUUUUGUAGACACAAGUAACCUUCCAAUUAGCAGUACAAGCCAGCCAGUGGACUCCAUGGUGUUUAGGUGAUGAGUCAAAAAAUGGCUAUUUCAAAAAGUUGGAGAAUGCUAAAGAGAGGUUGCAUCUUUUCAAGGCAUACAAGAUACAGGUUAUUGGCGGGCUGCCUCCAAUUAAAAGUUAUAAAAAAACAUUAUCAUGAGAGAUCCUCAGAAACAAAUCAACAAAUCGUUGUAAUUAUUGUUACAAAUUUAUAACGUUUAUUUUUUAUCGAGUAAUGUUUAUCGUUGUAAUUUUUU